rnacentral:rRNA from 1 species
GAAUCAUUCACAAUGGGCGCAAGCCUGAUGGUGCGACGCCGCGUGGGGGAUGAAGGCCUUCGGGUCGUAAACCCCUGUCAUCCGCGAACAAACCUUUUCGGUUAACACCCGGGAAGCUGAUCGUAGCGGCAGAGGAAGGGACGGCUAACUCUGUGCCAGCAGCCGCGGUAAUACAGAGGUCCCGAGCGUUGUUCGGAUUUACUGGGCGUAAAGGGUGCGUAGGUGGCUGGGCAAGUUUGAUGUGAAAGCUCCGGGCUCAACCCGGAAAAUGCAUUGAAAACUGCCCGGCUUGAGGAUCGGAGAGGAGACCGGAAUUCUCGGUGUAGCAGUGAAAUGCGUAGAUAUCGAGAGGAACACCAGUGGCGAAGGCGGGUCUCUGGACGAUUCCUGACACUGAGGCACGAAAGCCAGGGGAGCAAACAGG